rnacentral:lncRNA from 1 species
UGCACAUAGAAUGAGUAUGAAGAAAGUUUAACAAAAUAUAGGAAAGGGAAAUACAACUUAAACAUGGGAGUAUGAUGAAGUUUCCUGGAAGAAGCUGAUAUUGAGGCUUAAAGAGUACACAACAAUGAGCAAAUCUCUUCUAAUGCUUAAGGAAAACAAAAUAAAACACCCUAAAGAGAGUGGGAGGUACUAUUUAGGAAACCUUUCCCUCUUGAGAGAAAUAGGUGAUGGGGUCACACUAAAGAGAACCUUCCAUUUCUGGCUACAGCAUUAUGACUUCAGAUGAGGGUCACUGGGCACUAGGGAACCAUUCUUAGGUCCUGAACAGGUAAGAGCCAAACUACAUGCUAUGCUCUUCAGAGGAUAAUCUGACAGUUACAGUCUGGUGGGAUUACAGAAGAGUGGUAUUGAAGAUAUCAAGAAAAUACUUUUAUUAUAAAGGUUCAUGUUUGAAGGAGAGACAGAAUGGUGCUAGUGUUCCAGAUUUAGUAACUAUAAUUCUUGAUUUCUACUGGCAUCAUGUACAAUCACAUUUAAAAAUAAAAAGGAAAUGGAUAUAAACAAAUAAUGGCUUGAAAAUAUUCCGUUAUUGCUAGAAAAAUGCAACGUAAUUUUCGGUGGAACAUUAUUUUUAAAAGAUCCCCAAAUGUAGAAUGGGACACAGCUCAUUACCCUUUUUAGAAAUUAUUUUUAGAAAGAUGUUAUUUGAAUUAUUUCUGUGAAACUUUGUAACGCC